rnacentral:rRNA from 1 species
AUUGAACGCUGGCGGAAUGCUUUACACAUGCAAGUCGAGCGGCAGCGCGGGGGCAACCCUCGGCGGCGAGCGGCGAACGGGUGAGUAAUACAUCGGAACGUGUCCUUGAGUGGGGGAGUAGCUCGGCGAAAGCCGGAUUAAUACCGCAUAAGCUCUGCGGAGGAAAGCGGGGGACGUGGUAACGGCCUCGCGCUGUUGGAGCGGCCGAUGUCGGAUUAGCUAGUUGGUGGGGUAAAGGCCCACCAAGGCGACGAUCCGUAGCUGGUCUGAGAGGAUGAUCAGCCACACUGGAACUGAGACACGGUCCAGACUCCUACGGGAGGCAGCAGUGGGGAAUCUUGCGCAAUGGGCGAAAGCCUGACGCAGCGACGCCGCGUGAGGGAUGACGGCC